AGGGCUUAACAUUGGCAUAUUCAUUUGGUCAAUCCUGUUUCUAUUCCUUUAUUAACCCUGGUUUGGUGUUGGACAGUAGAAAUGCUGGCUCCUUGAAGAUCAGAACUCUCAGGGCCAAACUGGCAGAGAAAAUUCUGAGGAUGAAAAGUUCUUAGAGGCCCAUUCCUGCAACCAAGGUGACCUCCUCCGACAUUUUUUCUACUGGCAGAGGCUCCAGCGCCAGAAAACCAACAAAACCAGCCAUUGCUGACAUCAGGACCCGCUACAUUGAACAGUGACCCCACUGCCUUGGUACCAGCCAAUCAAUCAGUGGAGACCACAACCCUGAAUAGACACUCCUGGAAAGCUACUGAAUAUUCUAUUAAGAUCUUUCCCCUGAGGCCUCCCCUAAAAUCUCCUUAAAACCCUUAGGAUAGAGGACCCAGUGCGCUCUCCUUCCAGGGAGCACACCUGUGCCUGUCAAUCACCCACCCCUCAGGUAUGUUACCAUUAGCUUACUCCCAACUCCAAGGACCCUUCCUUUAUCUCCAUAACUUGUGUCCUAAGCCCAUUUCUUCUAG